UACGUAGGGUGCAAGCGUUGUCCGGAUUUACUGGGCGUAAAGAGCGCGUAGGCGGUCUUGUAAGUGUGAAGUGAAAUCUCCAGGGCUCAACCCGGAAACUGCUUUGCAUACUGCGAGACUAGAGGGAUGCAGAGGUUUGUGGAAUUCCUGGUGUAGCGGUGAAAUGCGUUGAUAUCAGGAGGAACACCCAUGGCGAAGGCAGCAAACUGGGCAUCAUCUGACGCUGAGGCGCGAAAGCGUGGGUAGCAAACAGG
rnacentral:rRNA from 1 species